rnacentral:rRNA from 1 species
GAGUUUUGAUCGUGGCUCAGGAUGAACGCUAGCUACAGGCUUAACACAUGCAAGUCGAGCGAAGCGCUCUGUCCGGAUUCUUUCGGGAUGACGGACUUAGUGACUGAGCGGCGGACGGGUGAGUAACGCGUGGGUAACCUGCCUCAUACAGGGGGAUAACAGUUAGAAAUGACUGCUAAUACCGCAUAAGACCACAGUACCGCAUGGUACAGGGGUAAAAACUCCGGUGGUAUGAGAUGGACCCCGCGUCUGAUUAGCUGGUUGGUGGGGUAACGGCCUACCAA